rnacentral:rRNA from 1 species
CGUAGGGUGCAAGCGUUAAUCGGAAUUACUGGGCGUAAAGCGUGCGCAGGCGGUUUUGUAAGUCUGUCGUGAAAUCCCCGGGCUCAACCUGGGAAUUGCGAUGGAGACUGCAAGGCUAGAAUCUGGCAGAGGGGGGUAGAAUUCCACGUGUAGCAGUGAAAUGCGUAGAGAUGUGGAGGAACACCGAUGGCAAAGGCAGCCCCCUGGGUCAAGAUUGACGCUCAUGCACGAAAGCGUGGGGAGCAAACAGGAUUAGAUACCCUGGUAGUCCACGCCCUAAACGAUGUCUACUAGUUGUCGGGGUUUUAAUUAACUUGGUAACGCAGCUAACGCGUGAAGUAGACCGCCUGGGGAGUACGGUCGCAAGAUUA